GGUUGUGGCUCAGUGGUAGAGCGCUUGCCUAGCAUGCAUGAGGCACUGGGUUCAAUCCCUGUACCA
rnacentral:tRNA from 1 species